AGCAAUUGCUUUUGUACAACUCCAAAACUCUUUCAUGGAACCUAGUGCUCUUGCUCGUCGACUUUAGUAUAUCCAGCUCAGGUAGCUUUCUUCUGAACCACUCAAUUCUCUGGCUCUUCCUAGCUUUUGGAGGAGGUACCAACGGAUCUAACUCCUCCUUUUCUUUUUGAUCUGAGGCCACAACCGAGACACUGCUACUACUACUACUACUACUACUCAUGGGGACAUUGGUUCUAGGAAGAGGUACGUUUGCUUUGAACGGUGGCUUAUCUUCGGAGACAGUAUAUGUUGGAGAUUCCAUGUAGAGGAGAUACAAUAAAGCACAAACCGCGAAGAUCGCGAAUAAUGGUAACUUCCUAGCUCGCAUCUUUAAUCUUUUGAAGAAAACUCUUGUUCGAUGUGUACUUCUUAGCUUUACGUUUGACAGAACUAGAGUUUCUGCGUUGCAGCAGACAAGGGUGGUUUAUAUAGAAAGUCGUAUGUUGAUAUUUUCCUAAAUCAAGAGGGAGAAUAAUCUGUGAUUUCCGUUUUGGUUUAGGACACCUAGAAACCGGAGGUCCUAUUAGAAGUAGGAAUUAGAGUUGCCUUAGGUUACAAGUAAGUUUAUUGUUCGUAAGUAAGAUCCUAACCAAUCCCUGGAUGCCGCGUGUAAACAAUGGUUUGGGAUUUUAGGAAACUUUCCUUAUUAGUGAUUUUCAGUUUCUAAAAUACGAAAAACCCUUAAUCCAAUUACCUGACAAUUAUCAUCCGAUAUACCCAACUCGUGAUUUAAUUGGUUACGGAAUCUAAGUGUAUUGUAACAAUAAAUGGAGAAAGGAAACUACUGGAUGGAUGUUUCUUUUUUCUUCAUAUUUAUUUCCUUUUAAAAAAGAUUUUCUUUUUGGUAAAAUUUAUCUGUUUUCUAAACAUAUAAACGUAGUAGGAAUUAUCGUCUUCCGUAUUUGACUUAGAAGUAUACAAAUUUAGGGUUUGGAGACAAUCUUAUCUUGCCUGCAUUAGAAACAACAACAAAUGACGAAAGAACGAACCCAAACCUAAAAAAAUCAGAAACAGAGUUUAAAACUUCUAAAGACUUUUUUUUAUUUCUUGUCAUCUUUGAAUUCCUCUGCAAACAACACAGUGGUCCGAAAUUAUGAUGUCUAUGGCACUGCCCUUUCCGAUCUUAAGUUUUUUGGUGAUCUUGUUCCACAGAUGCAGCCCGUAGCUUCCUUUGUUGAGCUUGACCAGAUCGGCUUUGAGUAAUGUCGAGUCAUUGCUACUCCUUGGCGUCCGAAACAGUAUUUGAAUGUCUAACCAAUUAAAUGGAUAGAAUGCUACUGGUGGCAAAACUGUGAAAUUG
rnacentral:lncRNA from 1 species